rnacentral:tRNA from 1 species
GAGGGUAUAGCUCAGUGGUAGAUUGCACGCCUAGCAUGCAUGAGGCCCUGGGUUCAACUCCCAGUACCUCUA